AUACGUAGGGGGCAAGGGUUGUCCGGAAUUAUUGGGCGUAAAGCGCGCGCAGGCGGUCUCUUAAGUCUGAUGUGAAAGCCCACGGCUCAACCGUGGAGGGUCAUUGGAAACUGGGGGACUUGAGUGUAGGAGAGGAAAGUGGAAUUCCACGUGUAGCGGUGAAAUGCGUAGAGAUGUGGAGGAACACCAGUGGCGAAGGCGACUUUCUGGCCUAUAACUGACGCUGAGGCGCGAAAGCGUGGGGAGCAAACAGGAUUAGAUACCCUGGUAGUCCACGCCGUAAACGAUGAGUGCUAGGUGUUAGGGGUUUCGAUACCCUUAGUGCCGGCGUUAACACAUUAAGCACUCCGCCUGGGGAGUACGGCCGCAAGGCUGAA
rnacentral:rRNA from 1 species